rnacentral:lncRNA from 1 species
UGUCAAUUCACAAUUGCUAUAAAAUAAUUUGGUGUUGUUCAAUUGAUUGCUCUGUUUCAGUGAAGCAAACUGCAUUUCCAGAUUUAGAGCGCACCAUCUGUUAUAGAGUCCAUCAGUGAUUCUGAAGCCAUGUGAUGAUCUAGAUCCAUGCUAUGCAAUGUGAGAUCCAGUGAUAAGCUGCAUCAGCAUCCCCUACAAGCUUGCUAGAAUCAUGGACCCUCUCCAGACCCUACUAAAUCAAAAUCUGCACUUGACCAGGAUCCCAAAAAGAUCUAUAAGUUCCCCAGCACAUCAAUAUUUGAGAUGCUUGAGAAGCACUGCUCUGGAUCAAUGAUUUUUGUUUCCUUCCUUCUCCUUUCCCGUCC